UACCAGCUCUCCGAGUGGUGUGGAUGUUUAUUGGGCCUAAAGCAUCCGUAGCUGGCUAAGUUAGUCCCUUGUUAAAUCCACCGAAUUAAUCGUUGGAUUGCGGGGGAUACUGCUUGGCUAGGGGACGAGAGAGGCAGACGGUAUUUCCGGGGUAGGGGUGAAAUCCUAUAAUCCCGGGAAGACCACCAGUGGCGAAGGCUGUCUGCUAGAACGCGCCCGACGGUGAGGGAUGAAAGUUGGGGGAGCGAACCGGAUUAGAUACCCGGGUAGUCCCAGCUGUAAACGAUGCAGGCUAGGUGUUUGGACGGCCACGUGCCGUUCUAGUGCCGCAGGGAAGCUGUUAAGCCUGCCGCCUGGGGAGUACGAUCGCAAGAUUGAAACUUAAGGAAUUGGCGGGGGAGCACCACAAGGGGUGAAGCUUGCGGUUU
rnacentral:rRNA from 1 species